rnacentral:rRNA from 1 species
CAGCCGCAACAGCCCGCUGGCUCACACGGGGUGCUCUUCAUCGAGUGUCCCGCGUGGCCGGCAGAGUUUACUUUGAAAAAAUUAGAGUGCUCAAAGCAGGCUACACUGACGGCCUGAAUGCCUAUGCAUGGAAUAAUGGAAUAGGACCUCGGUUCUAUUUUGUCGGUUUUCUGAACCCGAGGUAAUGACUAAUAGGAACAGGCGGGGGCAUUCGUAUUGCGACGCUAGAGGUGAAAUUCUUGGACCGUCGCAAGACGAACUACUGCGAAAGCAUUUGCCAAGGAUGUUUUCAUUAAUCAAGAACGAAAGUUAGAGGUUCGAAGGCGAUCAGAUACCGCCCUAGUUCUAACCAUAAACGAUGCUGACCAGCGAUCCGCCGGCGUUAUUCCCAUGACCCGGCGGGCAGCUUCCGGGAAACCAAAGUCUUUGGGUUCCGGGGGAAGUAUGGUUGCAAAGCUGAAACUUAAAGGAAUUGACGGAAGGGCACCACCAGAAGUGGAGCCUGCGGCUUAAUUUGACUCAACACGGGGAACCUCACCAGGCCCAGACACCGGAAGGAUUGACAGAUUGAGAGCUCUUUCUCGAUUCGGUGGGUGGUGGUGCAUGGCCGUUCUUANUUGGUGGAGCGAUUUGUCUGGUUAAUUCC